rnacentral:rRNA from 1 species
UACGAAGGGGGCAAGCGUUGUUCGGAAUUACUGGGCGUAAAGGGCGCGUAGGCGGCUUACCAAGUCAGGCGUGAAAUUCCCGGGCUCAACCUGGGGGCUGCGCUUGAUACUGGUGAGCUUGAAUGCGGGAGAGGAUAGUGGAAUUCCCAGUGUAGAGGUGAAAUUCGUAGAUAUUGGGAAGAACACCGGUGGCGAAGGCGGCUAUCUGGCCCGUAAUUGACGCUGAGGCGCGAAAGCCAGGGGAGCAAACGGG